rnacentral:tRNA from 1 species
GCCUGGGUGGCUCAGUCAGUUAAGCAUCCGACUUCGGCUCAGGUCAUAAUCUCACAUUCGUGGGUUCGAGCCCCACAUCGGGCU